GUCGAGAAUCUUCCGCAAUGGGCGCAAGCCUGACGGAGCGAUGCCGCGUGGGGGAUGAAGAUCUUCGGAUUGUAAACCCCUGUCACCCGGGACGAAGCAUGUGACGGUACCGGGAGAGGAAGCCACGGCUAACUACGUGCCAGCAGCCGCGGUAAUACGUAGGUGGCGAGCGUUAUUCGGAUUCACUGGGCGUAAAGGGUCCGCAGGGGGUUUGCCAAGUCUGAUGUGAAAGCCCGCGGCUCAACUGCGGAAUGGCAUUGGAUACUGGCGGACUAGAGUGCACGAGGGGUGAGUGGAAUUCCUGGUGUAGCGGUGGAAUGCGUAGAUAUCAGGAGGAAUACCGACGGCGAAGGCGGCUCACUGGCGUGCAACUGACCCUCAGGGACGAAAGCGUGGGGAGCAAACAGGAUUAGAUACCCCGGUAGUCC
rnacentral:rRNA from 1 species